rnacentral:misc_RNA from 1 species
AAGUCGUAACAAGGUUUCCGUAGGUGAACCUGCGGAAGGAUCAUUACCGAAGAAAUGAUAGGGUUGAGCUGACUUCUUUGGAGUAUGUGCUUAUUCUAUCGCUUUUUCUAUUCUCCCUUGUGAACCUUUUGUAGACUUUUUUAUGAUAUUAACUUUGGUGGGAGGUUUCUUCUACGCAAGUUCAUUGAGACUUGCCUCUAAUGCGAACUUUGCAUUAGAUGGCUUGACUCUACCCUUAUCAUAUUGGUCUAUGAUUUUAUAUACCAACUCCUUUCAGUUUAUGAAUGUCUCUUUUGUUGGUCUCAAGUACCAAUAAAUUGUUAAUACAACUUUCAGCAACGGAUCUCUUGGCUCUC